rnacentral:rRNA from 1 species
UACGGAGGGUGCAAGCGUUAUCCGGAUUUAUUGGGUUUAAAGGGUGCGUAGGCGGUGAUAUAAGUCAGCGGUGAAAGUUUUCAGCUCAACUGGAAAAAUGCCGUUGAUACUGUAUCGCUGGAAUAUGGUUGCUGUGAGUGGAAUGUGUAGUGUAGCGGUGAAAUGCUUAGAGAUUACACAGAAUAUCGAUUGCGAAGGCAGCUCACAAAGCCAUUAUUGACGCUGAGGCACGAAAGUGUGGGGAUCAAACAGGAUUAGAUACCCUGGUAGUCCACACUGUAAACGAUGAUAACUAGCUGUCGGCGAUACACAGUCGGUGGCCAAGCGAAAGCGAUAAGUUAUCCACCUGGGGAGUACGACCGCAAGGUUGAA